AGAUAAGGACUACGCCUAAUAUUAGAGUCAAUAUUGCAUCUACUGGAAGACAACUCGGCACACCUUAUGGGGAUUCAGGUCAUGAGGGACCCUCUACAUCACAUCAAGAAGAGGGUCUGACUAUUGUGACACCAUCUAUGGUGGACACUACCAUUAGGAUAGGUUAUCCUCAUAAUUUUGAUCAGAGCCAAUUUGAACGCACAUCGACAUCCUUUGAGGAGUUAGCUAGCACUGCAUUUGGUGUUGAUACUGCACAAGAUACUGCUAGAGGAGAUACUGCUAGAGGGUUUGAUGAGCAUAUG